rnacentral:rRNA from 1 species
CGAGCGGCGGACGGGUGAGUAAUGUCUGGGAAACUGCCUGAUGGAGGGGGAUAACUACUGGAAACGGUAGCUAAUACCGCAUAACGUCGCAAGACCAAAGAGGGGGACCUUCGGGCCUCUUGCCAUCAGAUGUGCCCAGAUGGGAUUAGCUAGUAGGUGGGGUAACGGCUCACCUAGGCGACGAUCCCUAGCUGGUCUGAGAGGAUGACCAGCCACACUGGAACUGAGACACGGUCCAGACUCCUACGGGAGGCAGCAGUGGGGAAUAUUGCACAAUGGGCGCAAGCCUGAUGCAGCCAUGCCGCGUGUAUGAAGAAGGCCUUCGGGUUGUAAAGUACUUUCAGCGGGGAGGAAGGCGUUGAGGUUAAUAACCUCAGCGAUUGACGUUACCCGCAGAAGAAGCACCGGCUAACUCCGUGCCAGCAGCCGCGGUAAUACGGAGGGUGCAAGCGUUAAUCGGAAUUACUGGGCGUAAAGCGCACGCAGGCGGUCUGUCAAGUCGGAUGUGAAAUCCCCGGGCUCAACCUGGGAACUGCAUUCGAAACUGGCAGGCUAGAGUCUUGUAGAGGGGGGUAGAAUUCCAGGUGUAGCGGUGAAAUGCGUAGAGAUCUGGAGGAAUACCGGUGGCGAAGGCGGCCCCCUGGACAAAGACUGACGCUCAGGUGCGAAAGCGUGGGGAGCAAACAGGAUUAGAUACCCUGGUAGUCCACGCCGUAAACGAUGUCGACUUGGAGGUUGUGCCCUUGAGGCGUGGCUUCCGGAGCUAACGCGUUAAGUCGACCGCCUGGGGAGUACGGCCGCAAGGUUAAAACUCAAAUGAAUUGACGGGGGCCCGCACAAGCGGUGGAGCAUGUGGUUUAAUUCGAUGCAACGCGAAGAACCUUACCUACUCUUGACAUCCAGAGAACUUUCCAGAGAUGGAUUGGUGCCUUCGGGAACUCUGAGACAGGUGCUGCAUGGCUGUCGUCAGCUCGUGUUGUGAAAUGUUGGGUUAAGUCCCGCAACGAGCGCAACCCUUAUCCUUUGUUGCCAGCGGUCCGGCCGGGAACUCAAAGGAGACUGCCAGUGAUAAACUGGAGGAAGGUGGGGAUGACGUCAAGUCAUCAUGGCCCUUACGAGUAGGGCUACACACGUGCUACAAUGGCGCAUACAAAGAGAAGCGACCUCGCGAGAGCAAGCGGACCUCAUAAAGUGCGUCGUAGUCCGGAUUGGAGUCUGCAACUCGACUCCAUGAAGUCGGAAUCGCUAGUAAUCGUAGAUCAGAAUGCUACGGUGAAUACGUUCCCGGGCCUUGUACACACCGCCCGUCACACCAUGGGAGUGGGUUGCAAAAGAAGUAGGUAGCUUAACCUUCGGGAGGGCGCUUACCACUUUGUGAUUCAUGACUGGGGUGAAGUCGUAACAAGGUAACCGUAGGGGAAYCUGCGGUUG